rnacentral:rRNA from 1 species
CUACGUGCCAGCAGCCGCGGUAAUACGGAAGGUCCAGGCGUUAUCCGGAUUUAUUGGGUUUAAAGGGAGUGUAGGCGGUUUGUUAAGCGUGUUGUGAAAUUUAGGUGCUCAACAUUUAACUUGCAGCGCGAACUGUCAGACUUGAGUACACGCAACGUAUGCGGAAUUCAUGGUGUAGCGGUGAAAUGCUUAGAUAUCAUGAAGAACUCCGAUUGCGAAGGUAGCAUACGGGAGUGUAACUGACGCUUAAGCUCGAAGGUGCGGGUAUCGAACAGGAUUAGAUACCCUGGUAGUCCGCACAGUAAACGAUGGAUGCCCGCUGUUAGCGCCUGGCGUUAGCGGCUAAGCGAAAGCAUUAAGCAUCCCACCUGGGGAGUACGCCGGCAACGGUGAAACUCAAAGGAAUUGACGGGGGCCCGCACAAGCGGAGGAACAUGUGGUUUAAUUCGAUGAUACGCGAGGAACCUUACCCGGGCUUGAAUUGCAGAGGAAUUAUUUAGAGAUA